AAAAAGCGGAGGAAAAGAAACUAACAAGGAUUCCCCUAGUAACGGCGAGUGAAGCGGGAAGAGCUCAAAUUUGAAAUCUUAAAGGGUUUCCCUUUACGAAUUGUAGUUUAAAGAAGUGUUUUCUGUUGAGGUUUUGGUAAAAGUUCUUUGGAAUAGGACAUCAUAGAGGGUGAGAAUCCCGUAUUUGACCUUUACUUUCAACUUUGUGAUACACUUUCAAAGAGUCGGAUUGUUUGGGAAUGCAGUCCAAAAUGGGUGGUAAAUUUCAUCUAAAGCUAAAUAUUGGCGAGAGACCGAUAGCGAACAAGUACCGUGAGGGAAAGAUGAAAAGAACUUUGAAAAGAGAGUUAAACAGUACGUGAAAUUGUCAAAAGGGAAGCGUUUGACACCAGUGUUGUUUUUCUGAAAAUCAAUUAAAGAACUGUUUAUGCUAAGUUGUUUAGACUUUAUCAGCUAUCUGUUUAGUUUUGAGCUUUUCUUUAAUGCACUUUUCAGUUAACAAGUCAACAUCAAUUUCUUUUGCUGUAAAAAAGCUUGAGGAAGGUGGCUUGAGAUUCGUCUUAAGUGUUUAUAGCCUCUUGCCUAUGCAGUCGGAGAGAUUGAGGUCUGCAGCGUAGAUCCUUCGGGGCUAAAUGCAUUUGUGCUAAGUUAUAGCAUUUUAUAGACAACUUGUUGACUAUGAUUUGUCUUGUAGCUUACUCGCUUAUGUUAUUUUACCUACGCUUAGGAUGUGACAAAAGCGAACGUG
rnacentral:rRNA from 1 species